UUUAAUUGCCCAUUCUGUUCCUAUCUUCAGAAGUUAUUUAUACCUAUGCAAUACCUUCGCUCAGGUUAAAGAAUGGAAUACUAGUCUUGCAUCAAAUAUAUUUUACAUAUCCAUUCGAUGUUUAUCACCAGAAGUUAGUUCUACCUUUGCAGUACCUCUGCUCUACAUACCUCCUCGCUGGUUAAAGAAUGGAAUAUAAAUCUCAUAUCAAGUUGGUGUAAAAAUUUAGUUCAAUAAAUUAAGAAUUUGUAAA